rnacentral:misc_RNA from 1 species
UCCUGCUUUGCGGGGUGUCUG